rnacentral:piRNA from 1 species
UCGCCUAGUGUCAGGUAGAGGAAUGCCAC